GGAUUCCUUACUGACUGAGCCAGCAGGGGAGCCCCCUGGUCUCCAGGAAUGUUGAUUUCCUCUCGACGUCUCCUGCUGGUGACCACGGUUGGCUGUGACUGCCAUGGUUCAACUCGGGUCAGCUUGGCCUUGCAUCAGAUGUCUGGUUCUUGGACUUAGGCUGAAGGAACAGUAUCCACCAGGACAAGCCAUCCUUGUAGAGAAGGAAAGCACACGGAGGCUGGUGGAAAGCCUACACCUCUGCACCCAAUCGUAUUUGCACCUGCGUUCUGAGUCCCAUAAAGCCACAAGGCCGACCUGUCCCAUGGGUUAGGGAGAGGUGUCUUAUCUCCUUGGAGGCAACACAAGCCACAGAACAGCGGCAUGAAGGCCAUCUUUCAGGCAAAGGGAUGAACAUGUGGGAAUAGUCACACGGUCAUCCCAGUGUGUCUAUGCUCACGAGACUUCUUGCUCAGUUUUAUAGAAAUCCCGGGUAAAUUGAGCUUUAGCGAUUCAGGAGUGUUGCUGCAUGGAAAGCCAAUGCGCUGGGUUUUCAUCUGCAGCCAUUUCUCAUCUGCACAGAGUGCUCUUCAGUGUUUUCCAGUGCACCAUUUGUCCUUCAGACUGAUGUUUUCAAAGCUGAGUUUAACUGAGAGCUAAGCUGGACUGAAACAAAAAGAUUUUUCUUAUAUUUGGGUGUUCUCUGGAAAAAAAAAAUGUUUUUUUCCCCUAUAUUUUGGUGUUCUCCUCUUGAGUUUAAAUUUUGCUUCAUUAUUAAAUACAUUAUGAUAAAAUGUUCAUAUUUUCCUCCAAGAGGACUCCAUACACACAGCUAAUGAAUUAAACAUCAACGUUAUUCACAUGUAUUGACAAUAAUAUACAUGGAUUUUUUUAUCCCAAAGAGAAUGUCCAAGCAUCACCCCACUAGAGGGAGUGGCCAACAGACGCCUGUGCACUAUCACCCAGCUUUUUUUGGUCAAAAGUGAACUGGUGGCCGAUCUCAUUAUUUUAUGUAUUCCCAGACAAAUACUUCUAACACUGGUGUUCUUAAAGCUGAUUCCAUUCAGCAGUGGUAUGCU
ensembl:lncRNA